rnacentral:rRNA from 1 species
AGUGAACGCUGGCGGCGUGCCUAAUACAUGCAAGUCGAACGGAGUGGCGCACGGGUGUGUAAUGUAUAGCUAAUCUGCCCUAUACUAGAGGACAACAGCUGGUAACGACUGCUACUACUCUAUAGUGUAGGAUGAGGCUAUAUUGUAUUAGCUAGUUGGUGAGGUAAUGGCUCACUAAGGCUAUGACGCAUAACUGGUGUGAGAGGAUGAUCAGUGACACUGGAAGUGAGACACGGUCCAGACUCCUACGGGAGGCAGCGGUAGGGAGUAUUGCUCAAUGGGGGAAACCCUGAAGCAGCAACGGCGCGUGGAGGAUGACACUUUUCGGAGCGUAAACUCCUUUUGUUAGGGAAGCGGUACCUAACGAAGAAGCACCGGCUAACUCCGUGCCAGCAGCCGCGGUAAUAC